GAUGAACGCUGGCGGCGUGCCUAAUACAUGCAAGUCGAACGAAGAUCUAGCUUGCUAGAUCUUAGUGGCGAACGGGUGAGUAAUACAUAAAUAAUCUGCCCAUUGGACUGGGAUAACUAUUGGAAACGAUAGCUAAUACCGGAUAGGUGAUUUGAAGGCAUCUUCGAAUCAUUAAAGUAGGGUCACUACACCAAUGGAUGAGUUUAUGGCGCAUUAGUUAUUUGGCGGGGUAACGGCCCACCAAGACGAUGAUGCGUAGCCGACCUGAGAGGGUGACCGGCCACACUGGGACUGAGACACGGCCCAGACUCCUACGGGAGGCAGCAGUAGGGAAUUUUCGGCAAUGGGCGCAAGCCUGACCGAGCAACGCCGCGUGAGUGAUUAAGGCCUUCGGGUUGUAAAGCUCUGUUGUAAGGGAAGAACAUUCAGGAUAGGAAAUGAUCUUGAACUGACGGUACCUUACCAGAAAGCCACGGCUAACUACGUGCCAGCAGCCGCGGUAA
rnacentral:rRNA from 1 species